UGAUUCCUACGGGACGCAGCAGUGGGGGAUAUUGCACAAUGGGGGAAACCCUGAUGCAGCGACGCCGCGUGAGUGAAGAAGUAUUUCGGUAUGUAAAGCUCUAUCAGCAGGGAAGAAAAUGACAGUACCUGACCAAGAAGCCCCGGCUAACUACGUGCCAGCAGCCGCGGUAAUACGUAGGGGGCAAGCGUUAUCCGGAUUUACUGGGUGUAAAGGGAGCGUAGACGGUUAUGUAAGUCUGGAGUGAAAGCCCGGGGCCCAACCCCGGGACUGCUUUGGAAACUUUGUAACUGGAGUACCGGGGG
rnacentral:rRNA from 1 species